rnacentral:tRNA from 1 species
GGCAGGAUGGCGGAGUGGUUAUCGCGCUGGCCUGCUAUGUUUCGAAGAGAUAUAACAGAUAAGCCAGUUCCUUCGGGAGCCAGAGUUCGAAUCUCUGUUCUGUCG